UACGUAGGGCGCAAGCGUUGUCCGGAAUUAUUGGGCGUAAAGAGCUCGUAGGCGGCCUGUUACGUCUGCUGUGAAAUCCCGGGGCUUAACCCCGGGCGUGCAGUGGAUACGGGCAGACUGGAGUACUGCAGGGGAGACUGGAAUUCCUGGUGUAGCGGUGGAAUGCGCAGAUAUCAGGAGGAACACCGGUGGCGAAGGCGGGUCUCUGGGCAGUAACUGACGCUGAGGAGCGAAAGCGUGGGGAGCGAACAGG
rnacentral:rRNA from 1 species